rnacentral:rRNA from 1 species
AAAUUGAAGAGUUUGAUCAUGGCUCAGAUUGAACGCUGGCGGCAGGCCUAACACAUGCAAGUCGAACGGUAACAGGAAGCAGCUUGCUGCUUCGCUGACGAGUGGCGGACGGGUGAGUAAUGUCUGGGAAACUGCCUGAUGGAGGGGGAUAACUACUGGAAACGGUAGCUAAUACCGCAUAACGUCGCAAGACCAAAGAGGGGGACCUUAGGGCCUCUUGCCAUCGGAUGUGCCCAGAUGGGAUUAGCUAGUAGGUGGGGUAACGGCUCACCUAGGCGACGAUCCCUAGCUGGUCUGAGAGGAUGACCAGCCACACUGGAACUGAGACACGGUCCAGACUCCUACGGGAGGCAGCAGUGGGGAAUAUUGCACAAUGGGCGCAAGCCUGAUGCAGCCAUGCCGCGUGUAUGAAGAAGGCCUUCGGGUUGUAAAGUACUUUCAGCGGGGAGGAAGGGAGUAAAGUUAA